rnacentral:tRNA from 1 species
GUCCGCGUAGCUCAGCUGGAUAGAGCGACCGCCUCCUAAGCGGUAGGUCGUUCGAAUCUAAAAGCCGCA